rnacentral:rRNA from 1 species
AUGCGAGCUAUGCUAGAAGCUGAGGUUACCAGAGAAGAAGUUAAGGCGGCGCUUGAUCAUAUUGGAGAUCUCAAGGCUCCGGGCCCGGAUGGAAUGCCCUCAAUUGUCUACAAGAAGCAUUGGCAUUUUAUGGGGGACAAAGUUGUUGAUGAGGUGCUUGCGGUACUUAAUGGAGGGGCUUUACCCGAGGGUUGGAAUGACACUGUGGUGGUCUUAAUCCCAAAAGUGAAGAAUCCCAGUAGAAUUAAGGAUCUCCGCCCGAUUAGCUUGUGUAAUGUGAUAUAUAAGCUAGUCUCCAAGGUUAUAGCGAACCGUCUGAAGUUAGUGCUACCGGACAUCAUAUCACUUAACCAGAGUGCUUUCGUCCCCGGCAGGCUCAUCACUGACAAUGUCCUUGUAGCUUAUGAGGUGUCACACCACUUACUGAACAAGAAAAAGGGCAACGAGGGGAUUGCAGCAGUGAAAGCAGACAUGAGCAAAGCAUAUGACAGGGUGGAA